rnacentral:rRNA from 1 species
CACGUAGGGGGCAAGCGUUGUCCGGAUUUAUUGGGCGUAAAGAGCUCGUAGGCGGCUUAGUAAGUCGGGUGUGAAACCUCCAGGCUCAACCUGGAGGCGCCACCCGAUACUGCUGUGGCUAGAGUCCGGUAGGGGAGCGUGGAAUUCCUGGUGUAGCGGUGAAAUGCGCAGAUAUCAGGAGGAACACCAGCGGCGAAGGCGGCGCUCUGGGCCGGUACUGACGCUGAGGAGCGAAAGCGUGGGGAGCAAACAGG